CUUUCACAUAGCCAUAUAAUCCAGAAUAUCAAGGCAGAAAAUCCCACAAUAUCUGCUUUGAACUGGGUUAUCUGAGUCCACACUGCCAUAUAUUCCAGUUCAAAGCAGAAAAUGUGGGAUUUUAUUCAGCUGUGUGGAAGGAGCCUGAAUGAAUCAACAAAACCCUGGAGAAAAACACCAAGUUCUUGCCUUGGACAGUGGACUCUUCUCUAAGAUAGGAAUUCCAGGGAAAUGAAAUGAGUGGUCUACAGUACUCCGAACCGAUCGCGUUCCCCUUUGGGCGAGGACAGCGCCUACUUUGGGAUUGUUUGUAUUGUUUGUAGGGUGCAUUAAAAAGGCGCCCGUAAAGAACCCUUAAAAUUUCCGCUCCCGAGUCCGCGAAGGUGUCUCUUCCGAGCUCCUGUUGUGAGUCAUGGCCUUGGAGGGAGACCGCAACAAAAAAACCAGGCGCUACUUCUGCGGCGAGAAUCUCAGAGAAAGAGAGAGAGAGAUUGAGAAAGGGAAACCCUGUGGCUCCGGGGUAUAAAUGGGCUCCAGCAGCCCCGGGAGAGAAACGCUCGCUCAGCCUCGGAAGGGACUCUGGAGAAAGAGACAGGGAGAGACACUCCUCCGACAACCUGACAACCUGCCUGCCUGCCUACCUGCUUCCAAGAAGAUGCCAAGCCUCCGUUGCGCGCCCACCUUGCGACAAAGCAUCCCCGGGCCAAGUUCCUGGAUUCUGAUGGCUUUCCUUUUCACAACAUUACCCAGUUUAUUUGUGGCUUACCACAGCCCUGCUCAUGCAAGACGACUCAACACCUCAGAAAUAACAACCAAUUUAACCCAUUGCCUGACUGUUUCCUCCAAUUUGAUGGAGGCAGCAGAGAAUGCAUUCCAUCAGUUCCAGAAAAUAUUUAAGUGUUCUCUUGACCACAAUCCCACCAAAGACCCUAAGAAUGAAGAUAAGAUCGUGAACGCCUGCAUGGAAGGAAAAUCAAUGGUAUUAUAA
rnacentral:lncRNA from 1 species